CAAACAGCUAUGACUCUUCCACCUCCUUCAUCGCUUCAAUCUCUUUCAUCCGUAACUAUCGUAAAUCUCCGUUUAGGUUUAGUUAACACCACCCACUAAUCCUCAUUCAAUUCCAUCCUUUAAUCCUAUCUUCAUGUAUAUCCUUUCACCUCCCUUUGCUUCUCAUGUUUUAUAAACCUCUUCCUCGAGUCUCACCUUGAUCCAAUUUUUAUAACCUCCAUUCAACCAAAUCAAGCAAUAGCAGUCAAAUCUCCGGUAAGUUUCCAGUGGCCCCACAUUUUAAUGACAUCUCACGUACUCAAAGUUAUGAGCUGGAAAGCUGAAAGCCCUUGAACGAUGACCUCCCCUGCUAAGUUCUGCUGCGGCCAAGUUCUCGAAGAAAGAUCUCACCAAGUUCUGCUUCCCUUUUCUCUUUGCUAUGGAUGUUUCUUUAUACGAAAUACAAGAGCAGUCUAGAUUCUAUCUAUCUUAUGGAUUUUCACUUAGGGUGGACGGUCUCAAUUUCUUUGAAUAGGGGUGGACAGUUUACUUUCUGGAUGCGUCAUCCUCAGCUGAUUUUUUGGAGCGAUGAAUAAUUGGGAUGAUACAUUUGUUCGAGAGACCAGUUUCUGAAGAGAAAACUAACAAAGGAAUGGAAUUGAUCGAACGAUGCACACGAGCAGCUUGGGAGAAGGACGCAUGCAUGUUGAACUUCAGAUUUUCUGAUUCUUUAAUCCUACUGUUUACUGAUGGAACUUGGGAUUAGAUUUGAAUGAAAUUUUGUAUGUGCUGGGGACUUUUAUGCUCCCAUUUUGCAGAAGAUUCAGUAUAGGAUGAGUGCCCUCCACUUCUGUUUCUACCUUAUAUUGAAUAAUAUUUAAGCUAUAAAAAAUAUCUUCAGCAGACAGCUAAACUGCUUUUACAAAGUAUCAGUUUGGAUCAUAAUUUGUUUGUUUGACAAUAAAAUUAUAUGGUAUGCUUGUUAAAUAAAUAGCUUCUGAAAUUUAUGAUUAACAUUACUAAUAAAAACCUCAUUUUCAAUACAUGUUGCAUUAGAUGGAGUUCAGAGUUCUUUAAAAAAGGAUGGCAGUAACUUAAUUCCUCUCUGAGAGCAAAGAGCAUUAGAGUUAGAAAACUCUGAGUCUUUAGGUAGCUCUGGAAAUCUAGAAGAGAUUGUGCUAUGCUGUCUGAACUAAAGAUGAAUUUGCAAUAAUUGGAAUGCAGGAUCUACCAACUUCUGUGUACAGUAAGGUCAUAUUUCAAACAAAUCUAUGAUUGGAGUUUGUCGUCAAAGCUACCGAGUUUCUAAUCUUCCUGGUAUUUUUAUUGUAUAGGCACCAGGCAGAGAUAAUAUUUUUAUCAUAAUUUUUGUCGCCAGAUCAAUUCAUUUAAGGAGGAGAUUUAGAUUCUACAUGGAACCGUAACGAAAACUCAGCAUCGCUUCUUUAACUGUUAUCAUUUUUAUUCAAAAUGUCGUAGCCUUUCUGUGACUAACAAAUAGACAAGCCAAGCAGUUUAACUUCCAAGGUCUAAAAUAAAACAGCUCAUUAGUCAUUAGUUUCUUCGUACUGAUUUUACGGUGGAAAAUAUAAAAUGUUAUGAUCAUAUUUUUGAUUAGUUUAUUUACCCAUUGUCAUAGUUUAAUCUCUUAGUUCAAUUUUGUAUAACACUACAAUUCAUGGACUGUUUAGUUGCAGUUCGAUAAAACUGAGCAAGUUAUUCUUUCA